CCGACCACACUAUGUGCACCUCGUCGUUCCCCAGAUGCCGCAGCUGAGGGGUCAGAGGUCGGGGAGGAGACAAAGAGGAUGAUGACUCACCACUCCAGAUGAUGACUCACACAGUGACAGGUUGCAACAUGCAUAUCUACAUGCCUGGCAGACAUCUCAGCUUGGAUGUCAGCAAACCAACUCAAGAUUAACCUUGAUAAGACGGAUCUGCUCUUCCUCCCGGGAAAGGCCUGCCCGUUCAAAGAUCUGCCCAUCAUGGUUCACAACUCCACGGUGGUCCCAUGGUGUGACACUCAACAAGAACCUGUCAUUCUCUGAAAACAUCAAAUCAGCUUACACCUUACAACCUUACUUAUGAUUGUCAGAUGCUGGU